rnacentral:rRNA from 1 species
AACGAACGCUGGCGGCAGGCUUAACACAUGCAAGUCGAGCGCCUCGCAAGGGGAGCGGCAGACGGGUGAGUAACACGUGGGAACGUACCUUUUGGUUCGGAAUAACUCAGGGAAACUUGUGCUAAUACCGGAUAAGCCCGUGAGGGGAAAGAUUUAUCGCCGAAAGAUCGGCCCGCGUCUGAUUAGCUAGUUGGUGAGGUAAUGGCUCACCAAGGCGACGAUCAGUAGCUGGUCUGAGAGGAUGACCAGCCACAUUGGGACUGAGACACGGCCCAAACUCCUACGGGAGGCAGCAGUGGGGAAUAUUGGACAAUGGGCGCAAGCCUGAUCCAGCCAUGCCGCGUGAGUGAUGAAGGCCUUAGGGUUGUAAAGCUCUUUUACCCGG